AACUGAUACUACCUGCGGGAACCUGCGGAAGGAUCAUUACCAGAGUUGAAAAACUCCCUAAACACUUGUGAACUUACCUGUAUUGUUGCUUCGGCGGGCGGCCCCAGGGGGGGCCUCUGCCCCUCGCGGGGCGCUCGCCGGAGGUAUCAAACUCUAUGUUUAUUAUCUGCUUCUCUGAGAAACAUAUAAACAAGUCAAAACUUUCAACAAUGGAUCUCU
rnacentral:misc_RNA from 1 species